GAUGAACGCUGGCGGCGUGCCUAAUACAUGCAAGUCGAGCGAACAGACGAGGAGCUUGCUCCUCUGACGUUAGCGGCGGACGGGUGAGUAACACGUGGAUAACCUACCUAUAAGACUGGGAUAACUUCGGGAAACCGGAGCUAAUACCGGAUAAUAUAUUGAACCGCAUGGUUCAAUAGUGAAAGACGGUUUUGCUGUCACUUAUAGAUGGAUCCGCGCCGCAUUAGCUAGUUGGUAAGGUAACGGCUUACCAAGGCAACGAUGCGUAGCCGACCUGAGAGGGUGAUCGGCCACACUGGAGCUGAGACACGGUCCAGACUCCUACGGGAGGCAGCAGUAGGGAAUCUUCCGCAAUGGGCGAAAGCCUGACGGAGCAACGCCGCGUGAGUGAUGAAGGUCUUCGGAUCGUAAAACUCUGUUAUUAGGGAAGAACAAUUGUGUAAGUAACUAUGCACGUCUUGACGGUACCUAAUCAGAAAGCCACGGCUAACUACGUG
rnacentral:rRNA from 1 species